UAUUACUUCCAUGAAGCGGAAAGGUUUUAAUCCUACGUCUUGCAGUUCUCUUUGCGGAAACCAUUUCCGACAAGAUGAUUACAUAGUGAGCCCUGGAACGUGGAAGAAACGGUUUCAAACCCGAAGCAGUGCCAUCAGUUUUUGACUUUCCGACUCAUUUGAUGCCACCAAAUAAACAGCCACGAUGACAUGUUGUUAGGAUUUUGAGUGACAACGAAUGCUUCUCCAUUUGAGCGUUCUGUCAUAGAAUCUGUGCUCGAUUUGCCCGCUGCAGAACCUACUGAUUGCGUGGAGAAUGUUGUCAAUGAGAAUUCUUCCGUGGAAAGCAUGUCCCAAUUAUCCAAUGCAGAAGCUGCGAAUUGUGUCAAAAACAGUACAGUUGGUUCUUCAGUAAUUGAUUGUGGUAUACAGCCGAAAGUAGAAAUGGAAGACAAGGCGACCGAAACUUGCAAUUUUUUCUCAGACAUUUUGCACGA